rnacentral:rRNA from 1 species
GAAUCAGUACGCUGGUCGUGCCUCUGGUAUGCACUGGUGUUACUGAUUUCUCCCUUCUGAAGAACUAUCAUGCCAUUAAUUUGGUGUGGUAGGGAAUCAGGACUGUUACUUUGAAAAAAUUAGAGUGUUUAAAGCAGGCUUACGCUUGAAUACAUUAGCAUGGAAUAAUAAAAUAGGACUUUGGUUUUAUUUUGUUGGUUUUCGAGACUGAAGUA